GGAUUGAACCUGGCAACCCUAGGCAGGUCCCAUUUUGUUCAAGGGACUUACUUCCCAGAUAGGCGUGUGCGUAAUUGUAGCCCCAGUGAAACAUACAUCAGCAUAGGCAUGCAUACACCUGCUAUCAGACAGUAGACGAUAGAUGAAGAGGAAGUCCAAGGUGCUGCCCCAUGACAUCACUGGAGCCCACUCCUGAAGUCUCAGGGUUUGGGAUUCUUCUGACCUGGCAACCCUACUUUAAGGCCAGAUUUCGAGAUGCAGAAAGCACUGCUGUUCCCCAUACAAAGCUGCCCUGCUACUAAGAAGAAGAAAGAUCUACACUGACUUCAGAAAAAUAUACAGCAUUCACAACAGCAAGAAAAGAAAUGUAACAGGAUAUAUUGCUUACAGAGAGCCUUAGUUUUGAGGUCAGCUUUUCAAGCAAAGCAAUCUGCCGCACCUUCCGAUAUCAGUGAUCCAAAGAGAGGCCUGCAAAGUCCUUCCAGAAACAUGCCAGCAAUAAUUGGGCUGUGACCAGCAUAUGACCUAUCAGCUUUUUAUAUAAAACAUCUGUUUUUCUCCAAAAUUAAAUUCAUCA